rnacentral:rRNA from 1 species
GAUGAACGCUAGCUACAGGCUUAACACAUGCAAGUCGAGGGGAAACGGCAUCGAAAGCUUGCUUUUGAUGGGCGUCGACCGGCGCACGGGUGAGUAACGCGUAUCCAACCUGCCCAUCACUUGGGAAUAACCUUGCGAAAGUAAGACUAAUGCCCAAUGACAUCCCACGAAGGCAUCCGAAUGGGAUUAAAGAUUUAUCGGUGAUGGAUGGGGAUGCGUCUGAUUAGCUUGUUGGCGGGGUGACGGCCCACCAAGGCAACGAUCAGUAGGGGUUCUGAGAGGAAGGUCCCCCACAUUGGAACUGAGACACGGUCCAAACUCCUACGGGAGGCAGCAGUGAGGAAUAGUGGUCAAUGGGCGAGAGCCUGAACCAGCCAAGUAGCGUGCAGGAUGACGGCCCUAUGGGUUGUAAACUGCUUUUAUAAGGGAAUAAAGUGGGUCACGUGUGACUUUUUGCAUGUACCUGAUGAAUAAGGACCGGCUAAUUCCGUG